AAAUGCGUGAAUUCUGAACCAAAGCACAGAGAAUCAAACAAUGAAACAACACACAUCAUAAGUAUAAUAAUGAUAAAUUUGCAAAAGCGAAAAGAAAAGAGACGCAUUCCGGAAAACGUUUGAUUCCUUCACACACCCGCACACAUACACACACUCGUCCCUUCCCUCCCCCUCCAUCUCCAUUCUCCAAUCUCCCCUUCGACGCUCUCCCCUCGCUUCUCGCGCACACUAACCAAUCCGAGCGCCCGACGCUGCCCCCCGAUCGAAUCCACCGGAGCCGCCCACCUAGGGCUCGCCCGCGCCAUUGUCGAACCAGGAGGGUUCGUCCGCCCGCGCCUGCUGCCCCGCACUCCCGCGCCGUGGCGGUGGCGUUGGCGGUAUGUAUGAUCGCUAGAGGGAGAGGAGGAGGUGGCAGCACCGGUGGGGAUUAGGGUGGCGGCAGUGCUGGUGCCGGGAGGAGGAGGAGGAGGAGGAGGAGGAGGAGGCGUAGCCCAUGAAGGCGACGGCGCCGCCGGCAAAGCGGCGGAGGGGCCCGCGGCUGGCGGUGCUGGCGCUCGUGUUCUGUUCGCUGCUCGUGCCGAUCGCCUUCCUCUUCAACCGCUUCCCCGCCGUGUAUGUGACGGAUGAGCGCCCUCAGCAGGAGAUUGACUUGCCUUCAUUCGAUCGCGUGGCAUUUGAAAGUGGUGGAUCUGUAAAUGAAGAUGUGUUCAAGAAGACUUCUGGGAGCAGUAGUGUGUCGCACCAUGGUAUUGAUACUGGCCCUUCCAUAGUUAGGACUGAACCAAAAGUUAUAGUUCUCCCGCCUCCAAAAAUUGAACUAGUCCUCCCCCCUCCAAAAGUUGAACCCAAACCAGAAGUGAAGCCAGUACCAGUAUCAGUUCCAGUUCAUCAUAACAAAAAAAUUAACGUUGACAAGAUUAGGCCUCCUAGAGUUCAAAGUGCUGAUGAGGUGGAAAAGGCUAAGGCUUGUCAACUUGAGUUUGGGAGUUACUGUCUCUGGUCCAUAGAGCACAAAGAAGUUAUGAUAGAUACCAUUGUGAAAAGGCUGAAAGAUCAGCUGUUUGUAGCCCGAUCUUACUACCCAAGCAUUGCGAAACUUAAAGGAAAGGAGACAUUGACUCGUGAACUGAAGCAAAAUAUUCAAGAGCACGAGAGGGUCCUUAGUGAAUCCAUCGUUGAUGCUGAUCUACCAUCCUUUAUAAAAACGAAGGUCGAGAGGAUGGACCAAUCAAUAGCAAGAGCCAAAUCAUGCACUGUGGAUUGCAACAAUGUUGACAGAAAGCUUCGUCAAAUUCUUCAUAUGACAGAGGAUGAAGCUCAUUUUCAUAUGAAGCAGAGCGCAUACCUGUACAACCUUGGUGUUCACACCAUGCCUAAAAGUCAUCAUUGUCUUAAUAUGAGAUUGACAGUAGAGUACUUCAAAUCCAUGCCAUUGGAUCCAAAUGACUCUUCUGCCCAUACGUUUAACAUUCCAGACAAUAGGCACUAUGUUAUAUUGUCUAAAAAUGUCCUUGCUGCUUCUGUUGUCAUCAACUCAACUGUUAGUAGCUCUGAGGAUACUGAAAAUAUAGUCUUUCAUGUACUAACUGAUGCUCAAAAUUUUUAUGCCAUGAAGCACUGGUUUGCAAGAAACUCCUACAGGGAAUCAGCUGUGAAUGUCAUAAAUUAUGAACAAAUUAUUUUCGAGAAUUUCCCUGAGUUUGGAACCCAGCAGUUAUAUUUGCCUGAGGAAUUUCGUGUUUUCAUCAGUAGCCUUGAGCGGCCUACUGAGAAGAGUAGAAUGGAGUAUUUAUCAGUGUUCAGUCACUCACAUUUCUUUCUUGCCGAAAUAUUCAAAGAUUUAAAGAAGGUAAUUGUGUUGGAUGAUGAUUUGGUCGUUCAACAUGAUCUCUCUUUCUUGUGGAAUCUUGAUAUGGGAGAUAAGGUCCAUGGUGCUGUCAGAUUUUGUGGUUUGAAACUUGGCCAACUGAGGAACCUUCUGGGUAGGACAAUGUACGAUCAACAGUCAUGUGCAUGGAUGUCGGGGGUUAAUGUGAUUGAUUUGGAAAAAUGGAGAGAUCAUAAUGUUACAGAGAAUUACCUGCAACUCCUGAGAAAGUUUGGGAACAAUGGUGAUGAGGCCUCAUUGCGAUCUUCAGCUUUGCCUAUAAGUUUGUUGUUGUUCCAGCAUCUUCUUUAUCCCCUUGAUGAGAGAUUGACUUUAUCUGGACUUGGAUAUGACUAUGGAAUUAAAGAAAAACUUGUUCAGAGUUCUGCAUCAUUGCAUUACAAUGGAAAUAUGAAACCUUGGCUUGAGUUGGGCAUACCAGAUUAUAGGAAGUACUGGAAGAGGUUUCUUACACGAGACGAGAGAUUCAUGGAUGAGUGCAAUGUAAGUCCAUAGUGCACUUGAGCUUGAGAGCCGGAUCAUUUUUGACAGUAGAUUUCAGUCUACACUGCUGUAAUAUAUACUAAGAGGACCAACACUUCCAUUGAGAAAAGACUUGGGAAGCAGUCACUAGCCAUCAAUUUUGACAGAGUAGAUCCAGCGCCAUCUGUUGAGUGAACUUGUGAGCUCGAUGGAUGGUUUUUUCUGCAGUUAGAGGACUUUAGUGUUAAGUUUGAAGGAUAAUGCAGUAGACAACGUUGGUGGUGUGUGGUGGUGAGGCUCCACGUAAGAGGGAGCAUCACACUACGUAACAGGAAUGAUCUUUGGUGGAUUGGGGCGUCUUAAUUCAAAUUGGUGCCUUCCAUCUCAUCGAUUCAGUAAAUUUGAAUCUCCAUAUAUGGUCGUGACUGGGUUUAACUGCCGACAUAGGUUUCCUCUGUGUGCUCCACUGUGGCCUAGAAAGAAUUAAAAAGUGCAGUGCGGUUCAUAGCAAUACAUAUACUUGACAUUGCAGAAGUAAAAACGUGUUCCGGGCACUUGGUGAAUGGAGAACCUUGUCACUGUAAAUUGGUUCUUAAACCUUGUUGCGAUGUAAUAAUCAUGUAAACACUGUAAAACAUGCGAAUUUUCCAAGGCAGCAAUAAGCUUCAGAGUUGAAGAAACCGUUAACCUGGAUGAACAUGCGAGGACGCUUCUUAUCUUUGAGUAAAAGGUGGCUUAGGGUUUGUUUGGAUGACGUGUGGAUUUUGAAAAAGUGAAAAAACCGUUGUAAGGUAUAGACCAUGAGAAUUCAAAUAAUUCUACGUCUCCUUUGAUGACUUCACAAAGAAUCAGAUCUCUUUCGAUCCUUUUCUCAAGCGAUCACCAAGAUCGAGCUUCAGUUCUCUUAUCAAAUCAAAUGGUGAGUGCAAUCUCUCCCACAAGGUACUCCACAAAAAGUCGGAAGCUCUUGUUUGCUUUACAAUUUGGAGCAGCAACUCUAUACAAGAAUGAUAGUAAAUCUUCUCUCUUUUCUCGGAGUCAAAACUCAACACAAGUGUUCUAGCCACUCUUUUGCUACCUUAGGCUCUUGCAAGAUGCUAUGCUAAGCACACGAUGGUUUUGUAAGCACUUAAGAUGGUUUGGAUGCUAUGGAGAUGAUCCUCUAACUUGUAUAUGAUGUUUGUUUGUUAA